UACCACCCACCUUGUUUGGCCUAGAGCUGCCCUUCCAACAGUGUUACCAUGUCAAAAUGGACCUUCCAAAACUUUCUUAGUAUGAGGAGUGAUUUGAGGAAGAGGAAAUAGUGAUGCUUCUUCACUAUGAUUCUCUCUUGUUCUCUGGAUUUUGUUGAACAGAAAGGAUACAUCUAAAAUCAACAGUCACAAACAUCCUGAAGGCAGAAAAGGAAAGUGAGAGAAGAAAUUGACUUUUGUACCUUCACAGCAGACUUGAACUCUGACAGAGCACAUGGAAAAGUGAAUUCUUAACUGACAAGUCUUCGCUGAGAAUGACCCUGUUAGCCAGAGAAAAUUAAAUCAGGCAGUGUUAGUUGGAGUGCUCCGGCUGACCUCAGCCUUUUACAGAUAGUUGAGAAGCUCAAAAACGUUUUGCACAACUGAGCUGAACAGAGCCUGUGAAUGCAUAGAAAGAUGAGGUCUUUCUUGCAGGAUAUUUUUGUCUGCAUUGAGUYAGGCCUGACUAGUGGCUAGCUGUUGCUGCAGUGGGCUAAAUAAGGACUGUUAUGCAGAAAACUUUCAACAACAACAUCAAAAUGCCAACUAGCAGCAAGAAUGGAUUAUACUGAUGAAUUCUUUGUGUGUGUGCGUGCGUAUGUGUGUGUAUUUUUUUCUUGGUGCGUUUUUGUGAUUCCUCCUGUGACCUAGGUCACUAGACGCCUGGAUGAUAUUGCCCUCUGAGAACUGGGGCCGAUAAAGCUUUCAAGGAAGUGGGCUGAGUCCUAUUCUCUACAGGUUUCAGUUCAGCAAAGCCCUAGAAGUAACAGGUGUCACCUGAAGGAAAUCUGCUUUAAAGAGGAGAGUGUGGAUGUAUGAAGUAGGAAUAGGUUUUGAGGUUGUGAGAUUCGCCCUAACAACGUGAGGAUGGGCUUCUAAGGAAACCAAAACCAAGGGCUGUCUCAGAAACAGCAGGAUCACAAACUGUAAAUAUGAAACAACUAUUGAAGAUUGUCUAUAUAGGCAAAAUGGAAAUUCUGAUGGAUUAGAGUCCAAGUGAUUGUGUGGCUAGAUGAAGUGMAGACGUCCAAGUUUGCGAAGAGAGUGACCUGGUGUGGAAAUGAAGUCRAUUUUGAGUGCAGAUGUAGAGAUGACAGACAACAAAAAAUUAUCAACAGUCACAAAAAUAAAUGUAUAGAAGAAUGAGUGAAGAUACUUUCAGAUGAAGGAAUGCAUUUUGAAGAACCUCCUAAUUUUAAAGAAUGGAAGCACUGAAGAUGAAUUUUCUCUACAAAUUUUUGAGUUGGCUUAUUUUCUCUCACUGGAAAAUUCCUACGGAUUUCUUACAGUCUUUGAUGGCAUUAUAUAAUGCUAUAGAUGUGUGGCUAUGAAGAGCAAAACUUAAAUAGAAAGUUGGUUUUAGGAUUAAACAUUAUUAGUGUAUUUUACUCAAGUGCUGGCUGUAAGGAGAUAUUGACCAGCCCUAUGGUAUAUAACUGCUAUCAGGAGCAUUGGAAAGCUUGGAAGCAAGAUUGUGCAUCUAUCUUACCUCAGGGAAGCGUCAGUUUUGUUGCUUUUUGGCAAGGAAUCAGCAGAUGCCUGCAACAGUAGUUCUGAAGUGAAGUUGUGGGCAACACAGGAGCUAUCUGACAAACGCAGAAGAUGACGCAAAUGUAAUAAAUGAAUUAAGUCAUCUGGAAGCUUUCUAUCAGUCUGUGGCUGAAAAGUGAAAGACGAGCCUGAAUGCGCCCUGAGACUGAGGUGUAACCCCUGGUUCUCUAAGAUGGUAAAGCACUUGAGAAGAACAACCGAACAACCCUUUCUGCUACUCAGUCUGGGAAUAAAAUAAGAUCUUCCCUAAAAGUACUUUAAAAGUCUCUGCGACUUGGUCUGUGGAUGCUGCUGAGCAACAUGAGCUUCUGAUGGUCUAUCCUUUCCCACCACGAGUGAGAAAUGUACCAGAAGCAGGGAAGUGUCUGGCAUCAUCUCUGUUUUCUGUAAAUGCUUUUGAAGUCAUCCUACCCUAUACUGGAGUUGGAGCGUCUCUUGAUGGACCUGUCCCAUGAAUAUGCCUAACUCGCGUUUUGAAUCCUCUGCAGCAACAGAGUGAGCAGGAUUUGAGAAGCAGCAGUUCUGUCUUCACCAUGGGAAACCAUCCAGAAAAAAACGGUCUUUGAGCUUGCGGAAUUGCUAUCAGCUGGUACGAAAUAGCCCAGAUUAUACACGUGGGAAAAGAAAAGAAAGAUGAUCACGAGUAUACAGCAAUCAUAUCGGAGAUUUUCUAAAGGUUUCAAACCCAGGAAAAGGGAAAUCCUCUAAAUAUGUGGAGUUUUUGGAUACCUUUUGCUAGGUGUUAAGGAAGAUGUUGCACAGCAUCGAACUCCCAGACCUUCAGUGUAAAGAGGCUCUCUGCUCUUAAGAGGCACUUUUAAUAUGUUCAACUAUAAAUGAUGUCAAUUAAAAGCUGCUCUGCUCUGUGGAAAAACUCCAAAUGUCAGGAUCCAUGACUCCUGACUCAAUGACUCCUGCGACAAUGCUAGAAAGAAGUCAGCUGAAUUGACUGCUGAUGAAAGCUCCAGUGCUCCAGCUUCUGUGAUUGGUGUUACCAAAUACAUUGUAAAUGACUGCUGAAAGAAUUUGAACUUCAGGGUAGCAAAUGGCUGCUUUCAGGUACUUCCCUUCUAAGCCCAGAUGAGGGUCUGUGGAGGGAGCUGUGAUAGCUUGGGUCAGAAAGAAAAAGUCCCUGCUUUGAAGUGCAUAUAAUGCUAGGACAGGAACCUCUAUAGGUGACUUUGACCUCAGACUUCUGGAAGGUGUCCAAAGACCUGAGCAUCACUCUCAUGCAUUUGAGAUGGUCCGGCAACCAUGCUACUUUAUAACCUGUGAAGUAGUGAGCAGUCUUCUCAGAAUGAGUCUGGGUACCCACC